GAUGAACGCUGGCGGCGUGCCUAAUACAUGCAAGUCGAGCGAACAGACGAGGAGCUUGCUCCUCUGACGUUAGCGGCGGACGGGUGAGUAACACGUGGAUAACCUACCUCUAAGACUGGGAUAACUUCGGGAAACCGGAGCUACUACCGGAUAAUAUAUUGAACCGCAUGGUUCAAUAGUGAAAGACGGUUUUGCUGUCACUUAUAGAUGGAUCCGCGCCGCAUUAGCUAGUUGGUAAGGUAACGGCUUACCAAGGCAACGAUGCGUAGCCGACCUGAGAGGGUGAUCGGCCACACUGGAACUGAGACACGGUCCAGACUCCUACGGGAGGCAGCAGUAGGGAAUCUUCCGCAAAGGGCGAAAGCCUGACGGAGCAACGUCGCGUGAGUGAUGAAGGUCUUCGGAUCGUAAAACUCUGUUAUUAGGGAAGAACAAAUGUGUAAGUAACUAUGCACGUCUUGACGGUACCUAAUCAGAAAGCCACGGCUAACUACGUG
rnacentral:rRNA from 1 species